rfam:Ovis aries breed Texel chromosome 2, whole genome shotgun sequence.
UCUUCAGUGGUCCAGGGGCUAAGACUCUGCAUUCCCAAUGCAGGAGGCCCAGGUUCAAUUCCUGGUCAGGGAA